rnacentral:snoRNA from 1 species
AAGUGAUGACCUUUUUGAUGACGAGUCUGAAUGUUUUGACGUUGAGCGGUUUUCGCGAUACGUUGUUACGUGUUGAGACUCUUAUUUAUAUACCAUUCAUGCCUUUCUGAUU